rnacentral:rRNA from 1 species
AAAUGUAGUCUUAUUAUAACAUAAUAAAACUUUCAACAACGGAUCUCUUGGCUCUCGCAUCGAUGAGGAACGCAGCGAAAUGCGAUAAGUAAUGUGAAUUGCAGAAUUCAGUGAAUCAUCGAAUCUUUGAACGCACCUUGCGCUCCUUGGUAUUCCGAGGAGCAUGCCUGUUUGAGUGUCAUGAAACCCUCAAACCCAAGUUUUGGAUUUCGAUCCAUGCUUGAGUUUGGAUUUGGAUGUUUGCCGGUGAUGAACCGACUCAUCUUAAAAGUAUUAGCUUGGAUCUGUCUAUAUGACUGGUUUGACUUGGUAUAAUAAGUAUUUUGCUGAGGACAUCUUCGGAUGGCCAGGACCUAGACUACUGUCUGCUAACUAAACCAUCACUUUAAGUGCAUCUUUGGAUGUUACUCAUUGUGUAACUUUGACAUCUGGCCUCAAAUCAAGUAGGACUACCCGCUGAACUUAAGCA